rnacentral:lncRNA from 1 species
GUCGGCCUCGCCGGGCUCCAGCUCUGUACCCGGCGCGUGCUGGCUUGGGACAGGAUGGUGAGGGGCAGAUGCUGAGUGUUCGUACAAAGCUGGAAACCUGAUGUGCCCUGGGGCUGGUGACAUUGGCAGUUCUCCUUUAGGCAGUCUGUUGUGGUGGCCUGGAGGGGCCGAGGAGCUGUGCAGGAGGGAACGUGUCCUUUCCCCACUAGGAUUUAGCGCUUGGCCUGCAGUAGGGCCGAUCUUCUCGAGCUGCCUGCUCCCUGCUUCUGGAAUCAGAGCCUUCUGGGAGCAAAGUUUGCCCACAGGGGAUAGUUGGGACAUGCUGGGUGGAGCUCGACUGGUUGUAGAGAAGCUAGUGGUCUGAUCCUGGCUGCAGGAGCUCGAGAAGUUGUCGAUCUUGAGAAGUGGCAGGGCAAAAGUAGCCCAGCACCAGAAAUUGCAGAGAGGUUUCGGUCCUGAGGCGGCAGUGUGCGCGGUGUGCUUUGGUGUCUUCCGGGUCCUAGCGAAGGCUCAGCCUGGCUCUCCUGGUCUUCCGCAGCCUGGGUAGAUUUCACCAUUCUUUCCCUUCUUUCCCAUCAGAUCUUUUCUGCAGGCUACGGGGCGUGGAGUGCUGGACCUGCCAACACCCAGGGUGCAUAUGGAACUGGUGUGGCCAGCUGGCAAGGUUAUGAAAACUACAAUUACUACGGCGCCCAGAACACCAGUGUCACCACAAGCGCAACCUACAGCUACGGCCCAGCCUCGUGGGAGGCCGCCAAGGCCAAUGAUGGCGGCCUGGCGGCCGGGGCCCCUGCCAUGCACAUGGCCUCUUACGGCCCAGAGCCAUGCACCGACAAUUCCGACUCCCUCAUUGCCAAGAUAAACCAGCG